AUUGAACGCUGGCGGCAUGCUUUACACAUGCAAGUCGAACGGUAACAGGCCUUCGGGUGCUGACGAGUGGCGAACGGGUGAGUAAUGCAUCGGAACGUGCCCAGAGGUGGGGGAUAACGCAGCGAAAGCUGUGCUAAUACCGCAUGUGAUCUGAGGAUGAAAGCGGGGGACCAGGCAGCAAUGUUUGGCCUCGCGCCUUUGGAGCGGCCGAUGUCAGAUUAGGUAGUUGGGGGGGUAAAGGCCUACCAAGCCGACGAUCUGUAGCUGGUCUGAGAGGACGACCAGCGACACUGGGACUGAGACACGGCCCAGACUCCUACGGGAGGCAGCAGUGGGGAAUUUUGGACAAUGGGCGCAAGCCUGAUCCAGCAAUGCCGCGUGCGGGAAGAAGGCCUUCGGGUUGUAAACCGCUUUUGUACGGAACGAAAAGGCUCUGGCUAAUACCUGGGGCUGAUGACGGUACCGUAAGAAUAAGCACCGGCUAACUACGUG
rnacentral:rRNA from 1 species